UUGAGGCGGAAGAAGAAAAAAUGGAUUCGGCAAAACUCUCACGAUUCUUGUUCCUCCUUUUCUUUUGUUCCGUUUCAUUUCCGUUUCCAAUUUCCAAUGACAUGAAUAUCCCAACAA
rnacentral:ribozyme from 14 species